GGGAAGUCUUUUACAAAAAUGCUGCCACAACUUCACAACUUAUCAAUGACACUCGCGAUGAAGAAAGGAGGGCAGCGCCCAGUACAUUUUGCCGAACCUUGCCCUGGUUAUGCAAUGAAAACAACCUAGGCAGCAUGUGCUCGCCUAACUGCCGUUGUCACGUUUUGGACGUAGUUACUCCGCACAUAUAUAUGUGUUUUGAGAAUGGCAAAGCACUGCCGAUGGGAUUCAAGGACUUCUGACGAAUCGUUCUCUUUGUCAAGCAUCUUUAUUAAGAA
rnacentral:lncRNA from 1 species